AAAGAUGGCGGAGGGGCAGGUCCUAGUGCUAGAUGGCCUCGGCCAUCGUGGCCAAGCAGGUGCUGCUGGGCCGCAAGGUGGUGGUUGUGCGCUGUGAGGGCAUCAACAUUUCUGGCAAUUUCUACAGAAACAAGUUGAAGUACCUGGCCUUCCUCCGCAAACGGAUGAACACCAACCUGUCCCGCGGCCCCUACCACUUCAGAGCCCCCAGCCGCAUCUUCUGGCGCACGGUGCGAGGCAUGCUGCCCCACAAGACCAAGCGCGGCCAGGCCACCCUGGACCGCCUCAAGGUUUUUGACAGGAUCCCACCGCCCUAUGACAAGAAAAAGCAGACAGUGGUUCCUGCCGCCCUCAAGGUUGUGCGUCUGAAGCUUACCCGCAAGUUUGCCUACCUCGGGCGCCUGGCCCAUGAGGUUGGCUGGAAGUACCAGGCCGUCACAGCCACCCUGGAGGAGAAGAGGAAGGAGAAGGCCAAGAUCCACUACCGCAAGAAAAAGCAGCUCAUGAGGCUACGGAAACAGGCCGAAAAGAACAUGGAGAAGAAAACUGACCAAUUCACAGAGGUCCUCAAGACCCAUGGACUCCUGGUCUGAGCCCAAUAAAAUUGACUGUUAUUCCUAAAAAAAAAAAAAAUU